UACGAAGGGGGCUAGCGUUGCUCGGAAUCACUGGGCGUAAAGGGUGCGUAGGCGGGUCUUUAAGUCAGGGGUGAAAUCCCGAGGCUCAACCUCGGAACUGCCUUUGAUACUGGCGAUCUUUGAGUCCGGGAGAGGUGAGUGGAACUCCGAGUGUAGAGGUGAAAUUCGUAGAUAUUCGGAAGAACACCAGUGGCGAAGGCGGCUCACUGGCCCGGUACUGACGCUCAUGUGCGAAAGCGUGGGGAGCAAACAGG
rnacentral:rRNA from 1 species